AAGAGUUCAAGCCCUAUAUGGGUAGAUCUCCCAUCCUUGAAUAUAUUACUUUGUUGCUUUGGUGGGGCGUACGUUUAUACCACUGGUACUUGCUGGUGAGUACCCACCAGAGAAUUCUAAAUCCUGAAUUAUUUAUUGCUGUCUGAGAAUUAUAUAAUUAUUA
rnacentral:misc_RNA from 1 species